ACUAAAUAUUAUUGUUUAGGAACGGGAGGAGAUCAAGUUGAUCUCCCAUGGGAAGAAGUUAAACAGAUUAGGAUCCUGCCACGAGGGCAUUAAAGACAUCGUUAAUGGUUAUGGUCUAAUGUCUUUGGUGGGCAUAUCAUAUGACUAUGUCGAUAGGGGUCUACUGUUGGCAUUUGUAGAGAGAUUUCAUUUCGAGACUAGCAGUUUCCAUCUCCCCGUGGGUGAGAUGACUUUGACUUUAGAUGAUGUGUCAUUGUUGCUGCACCUCCCAGUUUUAGGGCAGUUCUGUCAUCUAGAGGAAGUAGAUUUUGAAGACAGUAGACACGUCAUUGUGGAGCUUUUAGGCGUGGAUGGCGGGAGAGCUGGUGCUGAGUUAACUGCAGCUCACGGUGUGAAAGUCAGAUUGAGCUGGCUUCGAGACAUCUACGUUGAGCACUGUGAACAACAGCAGUGGGAGUACGCUGCCUGGGCAUACUUGUUGCAUCUAGUUGGAUGCAAUAUAUUUGCUGAUAAGACUGCCACAUCCAUUCGCGUGUCUUAUCUUUUGCUCUUUAGAGACGUACACACAUGUGGUCGAUAUGCUUGGGCCGUUCCUGCACUAGCAUACCUGUAUGACCAGCUAGGAGAUGCCAGCUUGGCUUCGACCAGACAGAUGGCAGGUUAUUUGACUCUGUUACAGAGUUGGAUAUAUGAGCACUUCCCUACAUUGGGAAGAAGGCGUAUGGUGUCUUCGUACAUGGAAGACAAACCUCGUGCUGCAAAGUGGGAGUCACCGAGGCAGGGUUCCACCCUCUUAGAGGUCAAGGUACACUUGGAUGCGCUUACAUAUGAUUCAGUCAUCUGGUACCCUUAUUAGUCACAUCGAGAGAGUCGUCCUUUUUACAGCGUUUGUAUGUUCUCGGGAUGGAUCAGGAUUGGUGAGACAUUGUGUCGACAUUUGCCUGAGCGUGUUUUGAGGCAGUUUGGAUUUCGACAGUCCAUCCCUCGAGACCCACCCGUUGUUGCAGAUGCGGACAUACUGGCGACCGAUGAUGUGUGGUUGCACUAUCGUGAUCACGUUGUUACGGGUGUGUCCGUCAGCAGAUUCCCAUCUGAUUGUGUUGAUGGUUACCUUCGUUGGUUUAGGAUCAUAUCUCAUCCUUACAUUAUUCGUGCUGCUGAUGACGACCGACCGAGUCUUGCUCUCAGACUCCGACGUGACAUUCCUGAUGAAGUACCGCAGCGUCGUAGAUCGGCUUCACAGUCUGGUUUGCUGGGUGUAGUGAGGACAUUUGGUAAAAGGUUACAACAAAUGCUCUCUUGUAGGGAAAUUCCCGAGGGGACAAUAGGAUACACUCAUGCACGAGAGCUACUGGAUUUAGCUGACGCAGCCGUUGAAGAGUACUCACCGACCAGGAUAGCUGCCAGGAAUGUUCGUGACAGGCAUGUUCGUGGAAGACGAUCUACUUCAAAUUGAAUUAGCUUUUAUAGUUUUGCAGACGAAGAUUCAAUUGUUGACUGAAAUGUGUCUACAUGCUCAAAAUAUGAGGGAUCACGCUUUGUAGACCUCUGUUCUCUGAAGUUUUUUCUUUUGUGCACCCUUCGUCUUAACUUUAUGCAAUGGAGGUAUCAUAGAUGUC